rnacentral:rRNA from 1 species
UACGUAGGUGGCAGGCGUUGUCCGGAAUUAUUGGGCGUAAAGCGCGCGCAGGCGGCUUCUUAAGUCUGAUGUGAAAUCUUGCGGCUCAACCGCAAGCGGUCAUUGGAAACUGGGGGGCUUGAGUGCAGAAGAGGAGAGUGGAAUUCCACGUGUAGCGGUGAAAUGCGUAGAGAUGUGGAGGAACACCAGUGGCGAAGGCGGCUCUCUGGUCUGUAACUGACGCUGAGGCGCGAAAGCGUGGGGAGCAAACAGG